rnacentral:rRNA from 1 species
CUAGAGUUUGAUCCUGGCUCAGGAUGAACGCUGGCGGCGUGCCUAAUACAUGCAAGUCGAGCGAACAGACGAGGAGCUUGCUCCUCUGACGUUAGCGGCGGACGGGUGAGUAACACGUGGGUAACCUACCUAUAAGACUGGGAUAACUCCGGGAAACCGGGGCUAAUACCGGAUAAYACAUGAAACCGCAUGGUUUCAUGAUGAAAGACGGUUUUGCUGUCACUUAUAGAUGGACCCGCGGCGUAUUAGCUAGUUGGUAAGGUAACGGCUUACCAAGGCAACGAUACGUAGCCGACCUGAGAGGGUGAUCGGCCACACUGGAACUGAGACACGGUCCAGACUCCUACGGGAGGCAGCAGUAGGGAAUCUUCCGCAAUGGGCGAAAGCCUGACGGAGCAACGCCGCGUGAGUGAUGAAGGUCUUCGGAUCGUAAAACUCUGUUAUUAGGGAAGAACAAGGAUGUAAGUAACURUGCAYCCCUUGACGGUACCUAAUCAGAAAGCCACGGCUAACUACGUGCCAGCAGCCGCGGUAAUACGUAGGUGGCAAGCGUUAUCCGGAAUUAUUGGGCGUAAAGCGCGCGUAGGCGGUUUUUUAAGUCUGAUGUGAAAGCCCACGGCUCAACCGUGGAGGGUCAUUGGAAACUGGAAAACUUGAGUGCAGAAGAGGAAAGUGGAAUUCCAUGUGUAGCGGUGAAAUGCGCAGAGAUAUGGAGGAACACCAGUGGCGAAGGCGACUUUCUGGUCUGCAACUGACGCUGAUGUGCGAAAGCGUGGGGAUCAAACAGGAUUAGAUACCCUGGUAGUCCACGCCGUAAMCGAUGAGUGCUAAGUGUUAGGGGGUUUCCGCCCCUUAGUGCUGCAGCUAACGCA